AAUCAAAAUUGUCAAAUUGUCAAAAUUUGUAAUAUUGAUGUCCCAUUGACAACCAAACAUGCUCGACGAAACGUUUUCAAGCGUGAUAUUUACUACUGGUGUCAACAAUAAUCGAUUCGGCGAUGCAUCCCGAUGCGGGCCAUGGACGAUGCGAUUCGAUGCGGGCAACAAGCCGAAUCGAUUCAGCACAUAUUAAAAUAUAUAAGUCCGUUCAAAAAUCUUCCAGUGAUGCAGUGAUGCAAUGGAUUUGGUUUCCCCAUUUGUAUUAUUAUUCUCAUGUUUACCUGUAGAGGGAGCUAUUGUACAAGAAAUGCAGGGGGGACGAGCAACCCAAUUUUGCUUCCUCACGGGAGUAACGUCACAGACAUGCGCAAUUGCGCAGUGCCAAUCGAGAAAGCAGAGAGAAGCAAGAGAGAAGAGGGAGUGCGAAAGAUUAUUGACGCACCAAAGACAUUGAAAGCAGGCAUAUGGAGACAUUUUGGCUUCUAUGAGGACCUGAAAACAUUCAACGCAACGAAACACAGCAUCGUCAGCUGGGCCAUAACCAUGAGGGGAUAGGUGAGGUCUGGAAUCAAACCUUUGAUCCUCCAACCAUUGGUGACUUCUUCUACCACCCGCGCCACCGGUGGUCCGUGUCCAGGUGCGAUGGCUCCGCAUGUCACACCCAGCUCCAGCUCAGCUCGCGUUCAGAGUGAAGGUCUUCCCAUCCUGUCAACAUUACACAUCUGGUGUUAAGGAGAUCGAUAAAUAGAACUAAGGAUAAAAUGAAGAAUAGCCUAUUUGUCAUACUUACUUAUUAUAACUGGGCAUAUUUGUAACCUUACCACCUGAAACAUCCCAACAGCAUCCGUCUCAAAACUCCAACAUGUUAUGUGGCAGAUCAUUAUCCUUAAUUCUUAAAAUCUUUUGGGAAAUAAUGUGGUCAGGGAAAGUUUUAGAUCGUUAUAAUUGCCUCUGCGUGCUCCUAAAAUGUGGAGUGUUAUUAAAGCAAUGUGUCAAACUCCAUAUGUCUACAUGAAAUUAUGAAUAGUAUUAUGUUUAUAAUAAUUUACU